rnacentral:lncRNA from 12 species
GCGGCUCUCUGCGCAAAGGGCAGGGAAGGAAAGGAGCAGUAGCCGAGCCCUUGCUCGGGCCAGAGCCGAGGGCCCGUGGCCGCUGUGAUCUGGCCCUGGGCCCUGGAGGAAGCCCUCAUCACCUGAGAGCCGGGGCGGAGCUGCCUGAGGCCGGAGUUCGAAGUCCGGCCUUGCUAGGCCUCCGCCUCCGUGGGACCUCGGCGGUGAUCCGACCUGCGUGCCACCUCCCCGGGCGGAGAAGGAUCAGGCCAUCGCAGGACGGGAAGCGUCCAAGGGACUCACUGGGCAGCCGAGAAGGAUUUUGUCCACCGGCGCCAACGUCACCCGCCCAAGGGGCCAGUGAGAGCCACACCGGUGUCGUGGGGGGCCUGGCCCUGGAGGGCCGGGGACGCUCUCACAGGCGCUCGGGCCGGGGUGGGGGUCCCGGAGAAGGCCCCGAGGCCACGUGCGGCUCCCCCAGGAGACCUCAGUCCUCACCUGAGGCUACGGCCGUGCCCCCGCGUGCAAGGGGGCUUCUGCGGGGAAGGGCGCGCCAGCCCUGGGCCGCGGGUUCCUCCUCUUUCGUGGGAACCGGCCGGCCCGCAGCACCGGCACAUGGGACGGCAGCGCUUCACCCCGGGGUCCGGCAUCUACGGGGAUUUAAAACGGUUUAGAGGCUGAAGACUCUCCCGUGCUGGGCUUUGUCACCCGUGCCU